UCUGGGAACGUUACCUGCAGCACCAGAACCUAAGAGAAAUCGCGAUUCCCUGCCACCAACAUCCCAUGCCAUCCCCAUGCACCCCUCCAAGUCCCGUAAUCAUCUACUUCUUCCAUCUGCCUAAGAGAAACUGUAAAAGGGAUUUUUCCCCCCAUGAUUGAAUGGAAGCUCUGUACUGUACCGACUUCUGGAUUUGCCCUGGGUUGAGUUUAGGGAAUGUCUGGAAAGAAAAAAAAAAAAAGGAGGAAAAAGGAGGGGUGCAGCUCAAGCCUUAUCCAAGUUACUCUUAAGGCUGUAUUAGACAGGAAAAGAGCCUACGGGAGAAACAGCUGGGAUGCACACUGACUUGGAAAUCUCAGUUCUAGGAACCGUGUCUUUUCAUCCCGGAGGUGCUUCUACAAAGGUGUUUUGGGAUAAGAUGAGAUGGUUGGAUGGCAUCAUUGACUCAGUUGACAUGAGUUUGAGAAAGUGAAGGACAGAAGCUUGCAGAAGCUUGGCUUGCUGCAGUCCAUGGGGUUGAAAUGAGUUGGACACAACUCAGAAACUGAACAACAAACUUUGAGUGAAGCAAAUGGCCCUCCAUUAUGUGGGUAAGCCUCAUCCAAUAUGCUGAAGACCUGAAAAGAACAAAAAGACUGACCCUCCUCUAAGUAACAGAGGAGUCUCCUGCAGACAGUCUUCGGACUUGAACUAGAACGUCAGCCUUUCUGGGUCUCCAACUUAAUGGCCUUUGGACUAGAAUCGUGGCAUCAGCCCUCAUGGGUCUCCAGCCUGCCAGCCCAUCCUGCACAUUUUCAGCCUCUGUAAUCAUGUUUCUCAAGAGAUGCAGCGGCUGAAAAGAGCUACCACACGCCAGGGGUCAGGGCGGCGGCCGAGAGGAACUACAUAUAUACGUAUGUAUGUAUGUAUAUAUACAUAUAUAUGUGUGUAUAUAUAUAUAUCUGUAAAAGAUAUCUGGUAAAGAAUUUUUAUCAAAAGUAUACAAAGAACUCUUAAAACUCACCAAUAAAAAAACAAAUAAUUUAA